GAUGAACGCUAGCGGCAGGCUUAACACAUGCAAGUCGAGGGGCAUCGGGGGUGAAAGCUUGCUUUCACCUGCCGGCGACCGGCGCACGGGUGAGUAACACGUAUGCAACCUGCCCUCCACUGGGGGAUAAGCGGAAGAAAUUCCGUCUAAUACCGCAUAAUAACCUCGGGAGACAUCUUCCGGGGUUUAAAGGAGUGAUCCGGUGGCGGAUGGGCAUGCGGCGCAUUAGCUUGUGGCGGGGUAACGGCCCACCAAGGCGACGAUGCGUAGGGGUUCUGAGAGGAAGGUCCCCCACACUGGUACUGAGACACGGACCAGACUCCUACGGGAGGCAGCAGUGAGGAAUAUUGGUCAAUGGGCGGGAGCCUGAACCAGCCAAGUCGCGUGAGGGAAGACGGUCCUAUGGAUUGUAAACCUCUUUUGUCGGGGAGCAAAGAGAUCACGUGUGGUCAAAAGCGAGAGUACCCGAAGAAAAAGCAUCGGCUAACUCCGUG
rnacentral:rRNA from 1 species